GACAGAGGGUGCAAACGUUGUUCGGAAUUACUGGGCGUAAAGCGUGUGUAGGCGGUUUGGUAAGUCGGAUGUGAAAGCCCUGGGCUCAACCCAGGAAGUGCACUCGAAACUGCCAAGCUAGAGUAUCGGAGAGGUUGGUGGAAUUCUCGGUGUAGAGGUGAAAUUCGUAGAUAUCGAGAGGAACACCGGUGGCGAAGGCGGCCAACUGGACGAAUACUGACGCUGAGACACGAAAGCGUGGGGAGCAAACAGG
rnacentral:rRNA from 1 species